UAACAUGCCUGUUAGACUGUCAAUAGACAUAGAAUCCCGUUUUAUUUUUUACGCGUUUUUUUUAAAGGCGAGUCCGAACAAUAUAAAUAGUAAAGGCAAAAAUUUAAAGUUAUAUAAUUAAUUGAAAAAAGUAUAUCGGUUUCGAAUGUCAUACAAUAAUUAUUUUCUUCUUUGGUGUCAAAGUAAACUACAUAUUCGUACAGAAAAUAUUUCACAGUACAUGUAUGUAAAAUUUGUUAAAUAUUCUCAUAAUCGUUUGUUUCAUAUCAUAAAACUGCACGCGACUGGAUGUAGUUAUAAAGAGGCCACAGAGGCUCUGCAACGAACGGUGGCCAAAAGUAUUUUCACAGCAUAUAGCCUGGCAACAACUCACCGCUCGAGCAUAAAAGAAUAUUGAUCAAGCGCCCUAGCAGAUAGACGUAAAGCCUGGUGAACACAAAGACGCUAACAUCCUGCAGAAAAGUUCAACAUGGCUGACAACACCGUACGGUCGGAAGAUGUGUAAGGACAAAAGUGGGAUCGUUGCAUUACAGACACCGGUUUACUGUUAACUGUUGAGUUAUCGAUCCGGACAGAACUUAAGUGUGCACCACUGCAGUAUGAUGACAUUUAAGUUUUAUAGACUUUCAUGCAAUAGUUACUGUCACACAGCUCCGGACAUUGAAAGUGGAAGGACGGAGAACCACACAGAAACAAUAUCGGCGAAUGAUGAUGUAUAUUUGUUUUAAGUUUCGUGAAAUAGGUACUGUGAAAUAGCUCCGGACGUACAACCUUCCUGAAUUUCAAUCUAUUAAGGGGCAAUAAAUUAAUAACGCGUGCACCGCAGUAUGAUUGAACACAUUCAUAUUAAGUUUAAUGAAAUUUAAUAAAUAAUUAUUGAUAAACACCUCCGGACAUCGCCAAAAUAAUAUUCCUUCACUGUCUUAGAGGGGUAAAAAGCCAUCAUAAUGGAGGUGUCAUUUUGUCUACUUACAAGAGUUGGCGCAUUCGGAUUAAAUGCGUAUUCUACAUGCAAUAAUAAAUGCAUGCAAAAAUAAAUAUCUUUCUUGCAACAAGCGUAAAUCUACUGCAAAUCUUAGCAAAACAUUUGCAAACGUAUGUGCGUGUGUAUAGUGACGCAAUCAUACGUUUUUCCAUAGGUAAUUUGUUUCUUAAUGACAAUAUGUUUAUAUUUGAUUAAUAAAAUACCUGGAUAUUAUAUGAA